UGCGAACUCCUACGGGAGGCAGCAGUGGGGGAUAUUGCGCAAUGGGGGCAACCCUGACGCAGCAACGCCGCGUGAAGGAUGAAGGUCUUCGGAUUGUAAACUUCUUUUAUUAAGGACGAAGAAUGACGGUACUUAAAGAAUAAGCUCCGGCUAACUACGUGCCAGCAGCCGCGGUAAUACGUAGGGAGCAAGCGUUGUCCGGAUUUACUGGGUGUAAAGGGUGCGUAGGCGGCUUUGCAAGUCAGAUGUGAAAUCUAUGGGCUCAACCCAUAAACUGCAUUUGAAACUGUAGAGCUUGAGUGAAGUAGAGGCAGGCGGAAUUCCCCGUGUAGCGGUGAAAUGCGUAGAGAUGGGGAGGAACACCAGUGGCGAAGGCGGCCUGCUGGGCUUUAACUGACGCUGAGGCACGAAAGCGUGGGUAGCAAACAGGAUUAGAUACCCUGGUAGUCCAGAUG
rnacentral:rRNA from 1 species